UCACUGCAAACUAAAGAAUAUUCCAGAUAAAGGAGACAUUGGUUUCUAUAGUUUCUCCUCUGAAUACUAGCAGAUUAUAUCAUCAAUUUCAGAGGGAAUGACUAAAAAUGAAGAACAUAAUAUUUUCAUAAUAAAUACAAUGUGUGGUAAAAACACUACUCAUGGGCAUGGAAAGGAGUAGAUACAGAAAUGGGAGUUUUUAUUGCUUUCGUCAAAUACUUACAGAACAAUAGAAUUCGGAAAAAUUUGUAAAGAGUUCCAAAAUACACAGCCCACUCAGCAAUAAAAGAAGAAGAAGAAGAAGAAGAAGAAAAAAAAAAAAAAAAAAACCUGGGAUAUAAGCAAGACAUCCAGAAUACAGAAGAUGAGAAAACAGACCACGGUUGACCCUGGGAGGAAAGAUAGAACUGCAAUGACUUGUCAAAGAGGAGAGGUAAUCCUGGGACACUUCUAAGGUAAGUCAUUUUUUUUAAGUAUCUAGCAAAUUAUCAAUUAACCUGGUGCCUUCUGUUCUCAAACUAUUCAUACAGAAUAGCAGAAGAGCUGAUCCUUGAAUGCUUCAGAGAAAGAUGUCCUCAGAGUUUUCAGGUCCAUAAAUAAUGGGGUUGAUUAAAAAUAGGUCAUCCAAAUCUAAUUGCUUUCUAUUUUUAAUAUAAAUUCGUUUCAUUGAUUUUUAAAAUGGGCAGUCCAUUAAAACACAUUAAUCAUGACCCUAAAAGUGUACUUGUAUUGCAAAAAGCUUAAGGUGAAGAAUAAAAAGCAAUUUCCCACCACAUGAAGCUGAGGUGGGAACAUCACCAAAGAGAGAUGGAGCCCUACUUUUCCUAGGGAAAAAAAAAAAAAACAUUUCUGGGCAAAAGCUGGGAGGUGAGGUAUCAUUAUGAUAAAACAUUGUCCAGCUGUUUGACAGCAGUUUUAGAAUGCUUGGUGCCUUGCAUGUCUAGUUUGGAUAAGUGGUCCCUGAUUUUGUAGAGCCAAGGUAAAAACAUAGGAUUGAAACUGCUGUAUUUUCCUUUACGUGCGCACUCAUAAUUGCAGAAGACUUGUUUGUUCUAGAAAAUGCAGCUAAGGAAAACUAAUACUAAAAAUAAUCCAUAAUAUCAUCAUCCGGAAAUAACAGUAGAAACAUUUUGAUACAUAUCUAGUCAAAUUUUUUAAACAUACAAUGUAUAUUUUAAUUGCAGACCUAUAAUAGGCCUAUAACCUUUUAUACUAAAAAUGUCACAUACAUUUCAGAUGCCAACAUAUAGUUUCUCAAAAUUGUUGUGAAUGGAGCACGC
rnacentral:lncRNA from 1 species